rnacentral:rRNA from 1 species
UACGUAGGGUGCAAGCGUUAAUCGGAAUUACUGGGCGUAAAGCGUGCGCAGGCGGUUAUGCAAGACAGAUGUGAAAUCCCCGGGCUUAACCUGGGAACCGCAUUUGUGACUGCAUAGCUGGAGUACGGCAGAGGGGGAUGGAAUUCCGCGUGUAGCAGUGAAAUGCGUAGAGAUCCGGAGGAACACCAAAGGCGAAGGCAGUGUCCUGGGAAGUACCUGACGCUCAGGUGCGAAAGCCAGGGGAGCGAACGGG